rnacentral:lncRNA from 1 species
AAAGAUUCCAUACCCUCCUUGAGUUCUCUCUUUUCUGCGUAGCCAGCCAACAAAGAAAAAAAGAAUUAUUCCACUUAUAUAAUAAUUGGAUGGUAAAUCAUUUCCUAAUACACUCCUUGUCAUUAUUUAUGCAAACACAUAUGAGGAUCGAGGACUGUGGAUGGGAUGUCACACAAGGCGUGGCCAGAGAAUACUAUUUCUGGCCGGAAAUAUUGUAAAUUAACCAAAGAAUGAUUUCAUCACUCCAAUAUAUUAGAGUACUUCAUUUAAAAAGAAAGCAAAAUGAACUUUUCAAAAAGACAAUAGGUAUCCCCAAGCACUAUAUUAGUUGGAUUUUUUUAAUAUAAUAGCUGUGGUUUCAACAUCCACUAAUAUACUCCUUUGCCCUCUCCCGUUCCUAGUCCUUCUAUGAAUGGAAAAAAAGAAGAUAAAAACAAUAGCUGAAGGACGAGUGAACCCUAAAACCAAAAACGAUCUCAUAACUACGGGGCUUCUCAUCCGAAGGAAAACACUCCGGCGUUGCACUCUUUUAUUGCAGAUAUUGGAUACAGAGAAAAACAAGAUUAAGAAGAACAAAAAGACUAUAAACAAAGAUAUGAAAUUGAUGAAGCAAAUUUCAAGACAUCAUUGACAUAUAUUUAAUUACAAAACACAACUAUACAAGCAAAUUAAAGGACAAGUAGGAAGCUAAAACACAAAGUGUGACCCCAUAAUUUUUCUUGUCCACCCUCAUUAGAAUCCUUAGUUUCUCUUGUAUUUCCUGCUCUUUCACCACGGCGACCUGUUUCACUCAUGUUCGCUGCUUCUCACCCGACUUCUCUUCUCUUUUGCUUUCUUUUUUUGCAGGACUUAGUUAGGAGACUAUAUAGACUUUUCAAACAAAAAAAGUGUGAAGGACAGAGAGUGGACGAGAACUGGCCCCAUAAGCCCACGCGCACUGUACUAUGUCUAUAUAUUAGGUAGUAUUAAAAUGGAGCAAGUUGAAAGCUUUGAACCUUAUCUUCUUCUGCUUUAACUUAGUUGGAAGUUUUAAUUUUCAGAAAACAAACAAUUUAGGAAAUAAAUGUGCUAGUAUAAAAUUUAAAAUUCUUCAAUUAAAUUUGAAAGUGAGUCUUAGAAUAACGGUAAAAUUGUCUUCAUGCUACAUAUAGAUAUUAACCUGAGCGGUUUUAAUUUUAAUGAUUGACAAAAGAAUACGUGGAUGAACAAGGUCUACGA